CACAGAUCUAUACAGGGUUACAACCCACAGCCCAGUCCAAUCAGGGAUGUGUCUAUGGAGAUGUCCUGGCUAGUCUUCAAAACAACCCUGCAAAGAUGGCUCAGCAGAAGGGUAUCUUGCUCAGGCUGCCUAUCUGAGCAAAGAGGUUGGCCUGAAAGUCCUACUAUUACCUGUCGCCUCCAUUCUUGGACUCCGUCAGCAGCCAUCCAUCCUGAAAAAGGGCCUCAAAUAUAAACGUCUGCCUAAGCUUGGUCCCAC